AGUGAAUAGAUACCCGGGUAGUCCCAGCCGUAAACGAUGCUCGCUAGGUGUCAGGCAUGGCGCGACCGUGUCUGGUGCCGCAGGGAAGCCGUGAAGCGAGCCACCUGGGAAGUACGGCCGCAAGGCUGAAACUUAAAGGAAUUGGCGGGGGAGCACAACAACGGGUGGAGCCUGCGGUUUAAUUGGACUCAACGCCGAACAACUCACCGGGGGCGACAGCAAUAUGUAGGCCAAGCUGAAGACUUUGCCUGAAUCGCUGAGAGGAGGUGCAUGGCCGUCGCCAGUUCGUACUGUGAAGCAUCCUGUUAAGUCAGGCAACGAGCGAGACCCGUGCCCACUGUUACCAGCAUGUCCUCCGGGACGAUGGGUACUCUGUGGGGACCGCCGAUGUUAAAUCGGAGGAAGGUGCGGGCCACGGUAGGUCAGUAUGCCCCGAAUCUCCCGGGCUACACGCGGGCUACAAUGGAUGGGACAAUGGGUCCCUCCCCUGAAAGGGGCUGGUAAUCUCACAAACCCAUUCGUAGUUCGGAUCGAGGGCUGUAAC
rnacentral:rRNA from 1 species